GGCUGGUUAGGCUGCAAAUC
rnacentral:miRNA from 1 species